rnacentral:tRNA from 1 species
UCCCAUGUGGCUCAGCUGGUAGAGCAUGGUGUUUGCAACACUAAAGUUGUGGGUUCAAUUCCCAUGAGGGAC